UACGUAGGGUGCGAGCGUUGUCCGGAAUUAUUGGGAGUAAAGAGCUCGUAGGCGGUGUGUCACGUCGGCCGUGAAAACCUGCAGCUUAACUGUGGGCGUGCGGUCGAUACGGGCAUCACUGGAGUUCGGCAGGGGAGACUGGAAUUCCUGGUGUAGCGGUGAAAUGCGCAGAUAUCAGGAGGAACACCGGUGGCGAAGGCGGGUCUCUGGGCCGUAACUGACGCUGAGGAGCGAAAGCAUGGGGAGCGAACAGG
rnacentral:rRNA from 1 species